rfam:Triticum aestivum genome assembly, contig: Triticum_aestivum_CS42_TGACv1_scaffold_556550_7AL
GUAUUGCUACCUCCGUUCCAAAUUUUUUGUCUUAGAUUUGUCUAAAUACAGAUAUAUCAAAUCAUGUUUUAGUAUUAGAUAUAUCCAUAUCUAGACAAAUCUAAGACAAGAAUUUUGGGACAGAGGGAGUAAAAG